rnacentral:rRNA from 2 species
ACGCUGGCGGCGUGCCUAAUACAUGCAAGUCGAACGAACUCUGGUAUUGAUUGGUGCUUGCAUCAUGAUUUACAUUUGAGUGAGUGGCGAACUGGUGAGUAACACGUGGGAAACCUGCCCAGAAGCGGGGGAUAACACCUGGAAACAGAUGCUAAUACCGCAUAACAACUUGGACCGCAUGGUCCGAGUUUGAAAGAUGGCUUCGGCUAUCACUUUUGGAUGGUCCCGCGGCGUAUUAGCUAGAUGGUGGGGUAACGGCUCACCAUGGCAAUGAUACGUAGCCGACCUGAGAGGGUAAUCGGCCACAUUGGGACUGAGACACGGCCCAAACUCCUACGGGAGGCAGCAGUAGGGAAUCUUCCACAAUGGACGAAAGUCUGAUGGAGCAACGCCGCGUGAGUGAAGAAGGGUUUCGGCUCGUAAAACUCUGUUGUUAAAGAAGAACAUAUCUGAGAGUAACUGUUCAGGUAUUGACGGUAUUUAACCAGAAAGCCACGGCUAACUACGUGCCAGCAGCCGCGGUAAUACGUAGGUGGCAAGCGUUGUCCGGAUUUAUUGGGCGUAAAGCGAGCGCAGGCGGUUUUUUAAGUCUGAUGUGAAAGCCUUCGGCUCAACCGAAGAAGUGCAUCGGAAACUGGGAAACUUGAGUGCAGAAGAGGACAGUGGAACUCCAUGUGUAGCGGUGAAAUGCGUAGAUAUAUGGAAGAACACCAGUGGCGAAGGCGGCUGUCUGGUCUGUAACUGACGCUGAGGCUCGAAAGUAUGGGUAGCAAACAGGAUUAGAUACCCUGGUAGUCCAUACCGUAAACGAUGAAUGCUAAGUGUUGGAGGGUUUCCGCCCUUCAGUGCUGCAGCUAACGCAUUAAGCAUUCCGCCUGGGGAGUACGGCCGCAAGGCUGAAACUCAAAGGAAUUGACGGGGGCCCGCACAAGCGGUGGAGCAUGUGGUUUAAUUCGAAGCUACGCGAAGAACCUUACCAGGUCUUGACAUACUAUGCAAAUCUAAGAGAUUAGACGUUCCCUUCGGGGACAUGGAUACAGGUGGUGCAUGGUUGUCGUCAGCUCGUGUCGUGAGAUGUUGGGUUAAGUCCCGCAACGAGCGCAACCCUUAUUAUCAGUUGCCAGCAUUAAGUUGGGCACUCUGGUGAGACUGCCGGUGACAAACCGGAGGAAGGUGGGGAUGACGUCAAAUCAUCAUGCCCCUUAUGACCUGGGCUACACACGUGCUACAAUGGAUGGUACAACGAGUUGCGAACUCGCGAGAGUAAGCUAAUCUCUUAAAGCCAUUCUCAGUUCGGAUUGUAGGCUGCAACUCGCCUACAUGAAGUCGGAAUCGCUAGUAAUCGCGGAUCAGCAUGCCGCGGUGAAUACGUUCCCGGGCCUUGUACACACCGCCCGUCACACCAUGAGAGUUUGUAACACCCAAAGUCGGUGGGGUAACCUUUUAGGAACCAGCCGCCUAAGGUGGGACAG